GAGUUUGAUCUUGGCUCAGAUUGAACGCUGGCGGCAUGCCUUACACAUGCAAGUCGAACGGCAGCACGGGAGCUUGCUCCUGGUGGCGAGUGGCGAACGGGUGAGUAAUGCAUCGGAACGUAUCCUGGAGUGGGGGAUAACGUAGCGAAAGUUACGCUAAUACCGCAUACUCUGUGAGCAGGAAAGCGGGGGACCUUCGGGCCUCGCGCUCUUGGAGCGGCCGAUGUCGGAUUAGCUAGUUGGUGAGGUAAAGGCUCACCAAGGCGACGAUCCGUAGCAGGUCUGAGAGGAUGAUCUGCCACACUGGAACUGAGACACGGUCCAGACUCCUACGGGAGGCAGCAGUGGGAAUUUUGGACAAUGGGGGCAACCCUGAUCCAGCCAUGCCGCGUGAGUGAAG
rnacentral:rRNA from 1 species